rnacentral:rRNA from 1 species
CUCUGUGACUCCUACGGGAGGCAGCAUGGGGAAUAUUGCACAAUGGGGGAAACCCUGAUGCAGCCAUGCCGCGUGUGUGAAGAAGGCCUUCGGGUUGUAAAGCACUUUCAGUAGGGAGGAAGGUAGUGUAGUUAACACCUGCACUAUUUGACGUUACCUACAGAAGAAGCACCGGCUAACUCCGUGCCAGCAGCCGCGGUAAUACGGAGGGUGCGAGCGUUAAUCGGAAUUACUGGGCGUAAAGCGCAUGCAGGCGGCCUGUUAAGUCAGAUGUGAAAGCCCCGGGGCUUAACCUCGGAAUUGCAUUUGAAACUGGCAGGCUAGAGUCUUGUAGAGGGGGUAGAAUUUCAGGUGUAGCGGUGAAAUGCGUAGAGAUCUGAAGGAAUACCAGUGGCGAAGGCGGCCCCCUGGACAAAGACUGACGCUCAGAUGCGAAAGCGUGGGGAGCAAACAGGAUUAGAUACCCUGGUAA